rnacentral:rRNA from 1 species
GAGUUUGAUCCUGGCUCAGAUUGAACGCUGGCGGCAGGCCUAACACAUGCAAGUCGAACGGUAACAGGAAGAAGCUUGCUUCUUUGCUGACGAGUGGCGGACGGGUGAGUAAUGUCUGGGAAACUGCCUGAUGGAGGGGGAUAACUACUGGAAACGGUAGCUAAUACCGCAUAACGUCGCAAGACCAAAGAGGGGGACCUUCGGGCCUCUUGCCAUCGGAUGUGCCCAGAUGGGAUUAGCUAGUAGGUGGGGUAACGGCUCGCCUAGGCGACGAUCCCUAGCUGGUCUGAGAGGAUGACCAGCCACACUGGAACUGAGACACGGUCCAGACUCCUACGGGAGGCAGCAGUGGGGAAUAUUGCACAAUGGGCGCAAGCCUGAUGCAGCCAUGCCGCGUGUAUGAAGAAGGCCUUCGGGUUGUAAAGUACUUUCAGCGGGGAGGAAGGGAGUAAAGUUAAUACCUUUGCUCAUUGACGUUACCCGCAGAAGAAGCA